rnacentral:rRNA from 1 species
UACGGAGGGGGCAAGCGUUAUCCGGAUUCACUGGGUUUAAAGGGUGCGUAGGCGGGCAGGAAAGUCAGUGGUGAAAUCUCCGAGCUUAACUCGGAAACUGCCGUUGAUACUAUUUGUCUUGAAUAUUGUGGAGGUAAGCGGAAUAUGUCAUGUAGCGGUGAAAUGCUUAGAUAUGACAUAGAACACCAAUUGCGAAGGCAGCUUACUACACAACGAUUGACGCUGAGGCACGAAAGCGUGGGGAUCAAACAGG